rnacentral:tRNA from 1 species
AUCUAAAUAGUUUAUAUAAAAUAUUAAUUUGUGGAGUUAAUGAAGCUGAUUGUGCUUUAGAUA